GACGAACGCUGGCGGCGUGCCUAAUACAUGCAAGUAGAACGCUGAAGAGAGGAGCUUGCUCUUCUUGGAUGAGUUGCGAACGGGUGAGUAACGCGUAGGUAACCUGCCUGGUAGCGGGGGAUAACUAUUGGAAACGAUAGCUAAUACCGCAUAAAAUUGAUUAUUGCAUGAUAAUUAAUUGAAAGAUGCAAUUGCAUCACUACCAGAUGGACCUGCGUUGUAUUAGCUAGUUGGUGAGGUAACGGCUCACCAAGGCGACGAUACAUAGCCGACCUGAGAGGGUGAUCGGCCACACUGGGACUGAGACACGGCCCAGACUCCUACGAGAGGCAGCAGUAGGGAAUCUUCGGCAAUGGGAGGAACCCUGACCGAGCAACGCCGCGUGAGUGAAGAAGGUUUUCGGAUCGUAAAGCUCUGUUGUAAGAGAAGAACGGGUGUGAGAGUGGAAAGUUCACACUGUGACGGUAUCUUACCAGAAAGGGACGGCUAACUACGUGCCAGCAGCCGCGGUAAUACGUAGGUCCCGAGCGUUGUCCGGAUUUAUUGGGCGUAAAGCGAGCGCAGGCGGUUAGAUAAGUCUGAAGUUAAAGGCUGUGGCUUAACCAUAGUAUGCUUUGGAAACUGUUUAACUUGAGUGCAGAAGGGGAGAGUGGAAUUCCAUGUGUAGCGGUGAAAUGCGUAGAUAUAUGGAGGAACACCGGCGGCGAAAGCGGCUCUCUGGUCUGUAACUGACGCUGAGGCUCGAAAGCGUGGGGAGCAAACAGGAUUAGAUACCCUGGUAGUCCACGCCGUAAACGAUGAGUGCUAGGUGUUAGGCCCUUUCCGGGGCUUAGUGCCGCAGCUAACGCAUUAAGCACUCCGCCUGGGGAGUACGACCGCAAGGUUGAAACUCAAAGGAAUUGACGGGGGCCCGCACAAGCGGUGGAGCAUGUGGUUUAAUUCGAAGCAACGCGAAGAACCUUACCAGGUCUUGACAUCCCUCUGACCGCUCUAGAGAUAGAGUUUUCCUUCGGGACAGAGGUGACAGGUGGCGCAUGGUUGUCGUCAGCUCGUGUCGUGAGAUGUUGGGUUAAGUCCCGCAACGAGCGCAACCCCUAUUGUUAGUUGCCAUCAUUCAGUUGGGCACUCUAGCGAGACUGCCGGUAAUAAACCGGAGGAAGGUGGGGAUGACGUCAAAUCAUCAUGCCCCUUAUGACCUGGGCUACACACGUGCUACAAUGGCUGGUACAACGAGUCGCAAGCCGGUGACGGCAAGCUAAUCUCUGAAAGCCAGUCUCAGUUCGGAUUGUAGGCUGCAACUCGCCUACAUGAAGUCGGAAUCGCUAGUAAUCGCGGAUCAGCACGCCGCGGUGAAUACGUUCCCGGGCCU
rnacentral:rRNA from 1 species